GGGCGGGGAGCCGGAACCGCCGGGGUCCAUACGGGCGGAGGGCUCAGUCUAGCGACGGGAGGUGCAACUCUGAAGUGCACGGUCCUCAGGACGUGAAUGGCGGAGGAAUUUGGUGUAGACAGCUUCCCAGAACAGGUGCCGGAGAGGUCUGCAACCCAAGCCGGAACUGCCUGCAGGCCCCUGGGAGUGUCAUUAAAGUAGUCCGUGAUGUUGCUGCCUCGACGUCCGUGGAGCGUAGCCACUAGGCCUGCAGGGCUUUGGACCAACACCCGUCCCUGCCGUGAGCACAUGCCCUAGGUAAAGCCUGCAGUCACAGGGCAGAGUCCAUGCAGCCCAGUAUCUUCCAGCUUCCCACCUGCCGGCACAGGGAGACCCAGGACCAGCAGGUGCUGCCUCGCUCCCCCAACAGCCAGAAGAAGAAAGCAGACCAAGAGGGCGUUGCCAGGGCUGUGAAAUGAAACUCACUGGUACCAUGAGCCACAAAAGUAGGCCAGAAUCUACAUGCUAGACCUAAAUAGGGCAAUUUUCUGUUAAAAUAGUAGAUUUCAGUAAUGCCAGAAGUCUUCUGACAUGAUAUGCAAAAUGUUCAGGAUACGCUCAAAAACAACUUGUCCUAUCAGGAGCCACGAAAACCACUAUUUGGCUGAAAUGACAAUUAACUGACAUAAAUCCCAGAUAGAUCAGGUGUUAGAAUUAUCUGACAAGGAUUAUAAAGCAGUCAUGAAAACGCUUUUAAAAAUCAUUUAUUAAGUCUCGGGGUGCCUGGGUGUCUCAGUCGGUUGA